rnacentral:lncRNA from 1 species
UUUAUUCAAUAGCUCUGGGCCUGAGAAACACCGGGGAAAUUGCAUCCCAUUUUCCCCAAGCCCAUUAGCAACCAGCGGUCUCAUUCUCGAUGAUUCCGCUGAGCCACCCCGGCUCUAGGGGAGGGGGUUUUAUUCUGCCUCUGCCGCCACCCCCACCCACCCUCAGAAGGGCACCAGCUUUUCCAAUCUGUGAACCCCAAAGAACUGCAGGGCAGGGACCCCUGGGGACCCCUCAAACCCCUCACCCCCGCAGCCUUCAGUACCUCCCGCCGGCAUUCCUCCACCCCCUCUCCAUGUCCACCCAGCCUGGCCCCAAGGGUGGAUUUCUUCUGGCUCUGGGCUCUAUUCUGGGGUGGGGGCGCCCAGAUUUGGAGUGGCAGCACCCCCUCCGUCUCCACCUCGGGCUGUGGGACCGCAGGUUACAAAGUGCCGGGAGCCGUGCAAGGCCAGUGAACCCCUCGCUGAGACUCAGUUUGCUGCCAUCACAAGUGCUCCGAGAAUCCUGGAGAGGGAGGAUAUAUUGGAGACAAACGGGAC